GCCGUGAUAGCUCAGUGAUAGAGCAUCAAACGUGUUAUUUGAAGGUUGUAGGUUUGAUUCCUGCUCACGGCA